rnacentral:rRNA from 1 species
AUGAGCCAACUGACGCCGGCGCCCGAUGCGUGGAACUUCGCGCCGGACGAAGCCCUCCUCGGCCUGUCGGCGCUGUCGGUGCGCUCCGUGCUGGGCAGCAUCAAGGCCGGGAUGGACCCGGGCAGCGACCGCCCGGUGAUCCCGCUCGGGCACGGCGACCCUUCGGCAUUCCCGUGCUUCCGCACUGCGCCGGAGGCCGUGGAAGCCGUCUCCGCCGCGCUCCACUCGGGGGAGCACAACUCCUACCCCACCGGCGUCGGGCUGGAGCCGGCGCGGCGCUCCAUCGCGCGUCACCUGUCCCUCGACCUGCCCUACGAGCUCUCCCCGGACGACGUCUACCUCACGAGCGGCUGCUCCCAGGCGAUCGAGAUCGUCUGCUCCGUGCUCGCCGGCCGUCCCGGCGCCAGCAACAUCCUGCUCCCGCGGCCCGGGUACCUGUUCUACGAGGCGCGCGCCGCGUUCAACGGCAUGGAGGUCCGCUACUUCGACCUCCUCCCGGACAGCGACUGGGAGGCGGACCUCGACGCCGUGGAGGCCCUCGCCGACGGGAACACCGUCGGCAUGGUCCUCGUCAACCCCGGCAACCCCUGCGGCAACGUCUACAGCUACGACCAUCUCGCCAAGGUCGCCGAGACGGCGAGGAAGCUUGGCAUCUUCGUCAUCGCUGACGAAGUGUACGCGCACCUGACGUUCGGGAAGAACCGGUUCGUCCCGAUGGGCGUGUUUGGCUCCGUGGCCCCGGUGCUCACCCUGGGAUCCAUCUCCAAGAGAUGGGUGGUGCCUGGAUGGCGGCUUGGAUGGAUCGUGACCAACGAUCCUAAUGGUGUAUUUCGCAGGACCAAGCUUGUGGAAAGCAUCAAGAGUUACCUUGAAAUCUCCUGUGAUCCUGCAACGUUUGUUCAGGGAGCAAUCCCAGAACUCCUGGAGAACACAAAGCAAGAAUUCUUCAGCAAGACCGUGGACAUUCUCAGACAAACCGCAGAUAUAUGCUGGGAGAAGCUCAAGGGCAUCUGUGGCAUCACUUGCCCAAGCAAACCAGAGGGCUCCAUGUUUGUAAUGGUGAAACUGGACUUGUCCUGCCUUCAGGACAUCAAAGAUGACAUGGACUUCUGCUGCAAGCUGGCAAAAGAGGAGUCAGUGGUUGUUUUGCCAGGAUGUGCUGUGGGAUACAAGAAUUGGGUCCGGAUCACGUUCGCAAUCGGGCCGUCUUCUCUCGAAGACGGCCUUGACAGGCUCAAGUCCUUCUGCUCGCGACACAGCGAGACUAAGAAGUGA